rnacentral:rRNA from 1 species
CACGUAGGGCGCGAGCGUUGUCCGGAACUAUUGGGCGUAAAGAGCUCGUAGGCGGCCUGUUGCGUCCGCUGUGAAAGCCCGGGGCUUAACCCCGGGUCGGCAGUGGAUACGGGCAGGCUAGAGGUAGGUAGGGGAGAAUGGAAUUCCCGGUGUAGCGGUGAAAUGCGCAGAUAUCGGGAGGAACACCGGUGGCGAAGGCGGUUCUCUGGACAGUUCCUGACACUGAGGCACGAAGGCCAGGGGAGCAAACGGG